UACGUAGGGCGCAAGCGUUGUCCGGAAUUAUUGGGCGUAAAGAGCUCGUAGGCGGCUUGUCACGUCGGGUGUGAAAGCCCGGGGCUUAACCCCGGGUCUGCAUUCGAUACGGGCUAGCUAGAGUGUGGUAGGGGAGAUCGGAAUUCCUGGUGUAGCGGUGAAAUGCGCAGAUAUCAGGAGGAACACCGGUGGCGAAGGCGGAUCUCUGGGCCAUUACUGACGCUGAGGAGCGAAAGCGUGGGUAGCAAACAGG
rnacentral:rRNA from 1 species